GAUGUUGCUUUUUCUUCUUGCCACAACUAAUUAUCUUCUCGUCAUUUCCACUAAAAAGGCCAGUGUACUUUUUACUUACUAACAUGGAACCUGCAGUGUUUUGGCACACCUGCUUAGCAAUUUGUAUCUUCUUUUCUGGUUUCAUGGUGUCAUGUCAUCUAACAGACCAAGUUUCAUUGUCGAGCAAUUUCUUGUUUGGAACGGCCUCUUCAUCUUACCAGUAUGAAGGAGCUUUCCUCAGUGAUGGGAAACGCCUCAGCAACUGGGACGUUUUUACCCAUGAUGCUGGUCAUGUUAAGGAUGGAAGCAAUGGAGAUGUUGCUGUUGAUCACUACCAUCGUUAUUUGGAAGACAUCAAACUCAUGGCAGAUAUGGGUGUGAAUAGCUUUCGUUUCUCUAUCUCAUGGGCAAGAAUUUUACCUAAUAAGUUAAACUAGGGCAGAUUUGGAAAAAUUAAUAUGGCCGGAAUUAAGCACUACAAUAAGGUCAUUGAUGCACUCCUACUGAAAGGGAUCCAACCGUUUGUAACAUUAACACAUUAUGACAUACCACAAGAUCUUGAGGACAGAUAUGGUGGUUGGCUAAGUUCACGGAUACGGUAUGAUUUUAGCUAUUUUGCAAAAAUAUGCUUCAAAUACUUCGGAGAUAGAGUUAAAUAUUGGAUAACGAUGAUGAGGCUAGCUUCGUGGCCAUUAGUGGCUAUAGAGAUGGGAGUUACCCUCCAGCUCGAUGCUCUGGUAUAUUUGGGAAUUGUAGUGCUGGCGGGGAUUCAGAAAGGGAGCCCUUCAUUGCAGCUCACAAUAUGAUCCUGUCUCAUGCAGCUGCUGUCCGCAUUUACCGUACUAGAUAUCAGAAAAGACAAGGAGGCAUGAUUGGCAUUACUAUGGGUAUCGAAUGGUAUGAACCAUUUAACAAUUCCUCAGAAGACAUAGCUGCAACUAAUAAAGCUCGAUCAUUCUAUACCAAUUGGUUUUUAGACCCUAUUAUAUUAGGAAGAUAUCAUGAAGAAAUGGUACAAAUUUUGGGAUCUAAUCUUCCAAAAUUUUAAAUGAGUGAUUUGAGAAUGUUAAGUUAUGGCCUAGAUUUCAUUGGCAUCAAUCAUUAUUCGGCUGUCUAUAUCAAAGAUUGCUUGUAUUCUGCCUGUGAACAUGGAAACUCUUGGUCAGAGGGUUCGUAUUUAACGACUACUCAAAGAGACGAUGUCUACAUCGGGGAACCUGGGGAAGUGGACUGGCAAUUUGUGUACCCACAAGGGAUUGAAAAAGUUGUGAUGUAUAUAAAGGACAGAUUCAACAAUACUCCUAUGUUUAUAACUGAAAAUGGCUUUGCUGGGAACAGUACUUCUAUAGAGGAUACCUUGAAUGAUGUUCAUAGAGUGAAAUACUUGCAUAGCUACUUAAAUUCAUUGGCAAAUGCCAUCAAGAAAGGUGCAGAUGUAAGGGGGUACUUUGUUUGGUCCCUUCUUGAUAACUUCGAGUGGCUAGAUGGAUAUACCACAAGAUUUGGACUUUACUACGUCAACUAUACUAAUCUCCAAAGAACUCCAAAAUUAUCAGCCACCAAGUAUCCAGAGCUCAUGUGUAACUUUCGCAUAGAUCUUGAAGCACAUACUACCCAGAAAUAGCAUAAGAAGACGAUGCAUAUGUGGAAGCUUGUUGAAUAUUAUUUUAUUUAAGUCUCUGUUAUUGGAAGGCAAUUAUUGGGAAGUCAUAGUAUAAUUGUUCCGCCUAAUCCCUUCCUUUAUAUUGAAUAAAUUAGGUCAAGAUCUAGUCUUUUUAUUCACUCUAAUAAAGUAAUGAAGAUUUAUUGUUUAAGUAGAAAUGUUCUGUUGAAAGCUGAAUUUUGUCCA